rnacentral:rRNA from 1 species
UACGUAGGAGGCGAGCGUUGUCCGGAUUCACUGGGCGUAAAGGGCGCGUAGGCGGCCGCUUGAGUCCCUGCGUGAAAUCUCCCGGCUCAACCGGGAGGGUCCGCGGGAUACUGGGCGGCUUGAGGACAUCAGAGGAGAGCGGAAUCCCCGGUGUAGUGGUGAAAUGCGUAGAUAUCGGGGGGAACACCAGUGGCGAAGGCGGCUCUCUGGGGUGCAACUGACGCUGAGGCGCGAAAGCGUGGGGAGCGAACCGG